rnacentral:lncRNA from 1 species
CCCUUACCUAGUCCCUUUUGCUGGCAGAAGCUGAGGAAACUAACCAAAGCGUAGCAUCAUACCAGAUGCUAUGAAGGAAAAACAACUCUGUCCUAGUGGAAGACAGAGGCAUCUAGGUAGAGGUUGAUCGGUGAGAAGACAGUGGCAUUAUGUGAGACAGACAGAAACUAAGCGACACUUUAUCAACUGCAAGCAACCAAGCCUUUCAGAGUGCUCUGAACCAAUCCUUUGGCAAUAUGCAAACAAAUCAAUGUGCUAUUAAAAAUACCAUGGACAACAAUGGAGCAAGAAAUCUUUCUCAAGGUCUGACAUACUAGCAGUGCCACUGGGAAUGCUGUGGUGAUUGUG